rnacentral:rRNA from 1 species
AUUGAACGCUGGCGGCAGGCCUAACACAUGCAAGUCGAACGGUAACAGGAAGAAGCUUGCUUCUUUGCUGACGAGUGGCGGACGGGUGAGUAAUGUCUGGGAAACUGCCUGAUGGCGGGGGAUAACUACUGGAAACGGUAGCUAAUACCGCAUAACGUCGCAAGACCAAAAAGGGGGACCUUCGGGCCUCUUGCCAUCGGAUGUGCCCAGAUGGGAUUAGCUAGUAGGUGGGGUAACGGCUCACCUAGGCGACGAUACCUAGCUGGUCUGAGAGGAUGACCAGCCACACUGGAACUGAGACACGGUCCAGACUCCUACGGGAGGCAGCAGUGGGGAAUAUUGCACAAUGGGCGCAAGCCUGAUCCAGCCAUGCCGCGUGGAUGAAGAAGGCCUUCGGGUUGUAAAGUCCUUUCGGCGGGAAAGAAAAGAGGAAGGUUAAUACCCCUCCGCACUGACGUUACCCACAGAAGAAGCACCGGCUAACUUCGUG